rnacentral:rRNA from 1 species
GAUCGGCCACAUUGGGACUGAGACACGGCCCAAACUCCUACGGGAGGCAGCAGUAGGGAAUCUUCCACAAUGGACGCAAGUCUGAUGGAGCAACNCCGCGUGAGUGAAGAAGNUUUUCGGAUCGUAAAGCUCUGUUGU